rnacentral:rRNA from 1 species
GACGAACGCUGGCGGCGUGCUUAACACAUGCAGGUCGAACGGAAAGGCCCUGCUUUUGUGGGGUGCUCGAUUGGCGAACGGGUGAGUAACACGUGAGUAACCUGCCCUUGACUUUGGGAUAACUUCAGGAAACUGGGGCUAAUACCGGAUAGGAGCUCCUGCUGCAUGGGGGGGGUUGGAAAGUUUCGGCGGUUGGGGAUGGACUCGCGGCUUAUCAGCUUGUUGGUGGGGUAGUGGCUUACCAAGGCUUUGACGGGUAGCCGGCCUGAGAGGGUGACCGGCCACCUUGGGACUGAGAUACGGCCCAGACUCCUACGGGAGGCAGCAGUGGGGAAUAUUGCACAAUGGGCGGAAGCCUGAUGCAGCAACGCCGCGUGCGGGAUGACGGCCUUCGGGUUGUAAACCGCUUUCGCCUGUGACGAAGCGUGAGUGACGGUAAUGGGUAAAGAAGCACCGGCUAACUACGUG